ensembl:lncRNA
AAGACAGGGAUGCACGAAUUUGUCCAGUCACUCAAGACAUUGUUGAGCGCUGUGUCCAUCGAAGGACCUAGAAGCAAGUACGCCUCGGAGCAAUGAGCACACCUGCACCCAGACCUUGGUGUCGAGUACUAUUUCCCACCAAAAGGAGCCAGGCGGACUCCUCGUAGAGAUGGCUGAUGUCAGAGCUAGGACGGCGUAGACUGCAUGAGUGUGGGAUGGCAUAUGCCACAAAAUAAGGAGCGAUUAAAAAUCAAGAUGGGGCGUGUUGAAAGGACACGGGAGCCGACUUGAUGGGAUUUCAUCGGCCAAAUCUAGCUCAAUUUCAGCAGCCAAUUAAGCACAGUAGAGACUUAUUGACUAUUUAAAAAAUAGCAACCUUCAGUCCAUAAUGAUAAUUACACGAUAAAUAAACGGGAGAGAAAGGAGGAUUACAGGAAUGCCCAGUGCUGGCUGGUGACGUGUGAGGAGUGUCAGCCGUGGCAUCGUGUGCAGCCGUCACGGUAAAGAUGGACUCAGGCAAGAGUUCCUGCUGGAUGCUGAGUCUCAGGGGAGCCAAGCCCCAGCCGGGCCGCUCUUCUUCUCCAGGACUCCCUGAACCACCGAAAGGUGCAAACUGCUCACUCUUACCUAGCAGAUCAGCCGCCAGUUGGUGAGCUAGAGGAUAUUUUCUUCUAGCACAUUUGACAUUUCUUUGCAACGUCAUCACUGGACCAGGCUACAGCACCCCUCACUUAGGGUGUCCACACCCCUCCAGGGAAGCUGGGGCCUGUACUUUCUGGAGAAUGACUGGGCAUCACAGGAGAUAUUCACCGAAUAGUCUUCUAAGGAAACCACUCAAUAAAACCUUAAUUCAUAUUUAAAAAGAUAUCAUUGCUCAUAUUAACCUACUUAAGAAACAUCUCUGAAGUUAAAAGCAAGGAUGGGAGCUUCCCUGGUGGCUCAGGAGUGAAGAAUUCACCUGCCAACGCAGGAGACAUGCGUUCGAUCUCUAGUCUGGAAAGAUUCCACAUGCCUCAGGGCACUGGGAGCUACCGCCACUGAGCCCAUGUGCCACAAGUGUGCCCUCGAGCCCACGCCCAGCAACAAGGGAAGCCACCUCAGUGAGAAGCCUGCUCACUGCAGCUAGAGAGCAGCCCCAACUCACUGCAACUAGAGAAAAGCCCGCAGAGCAACCAAGACCCAGCACAGCCAAAAAGAAAUAAAUAAAGCCAGAAUGUUCAUAUUAGCCCUUAUACAGUGCUAAGGCAUAAUGCUAUGUAAUAUUAUUUUAUGACAAUGACAAGCCAUCUGUAAAUAUUCUUCCAACAAAUAUUUUAGGAGUUAUACUUCUCAGCUGUUGGGUUAUUUAGAAAUUGAUUUCAAGGACUAUUAAUUUGUGACUGCUUCACAUAUGUUGCCUGGUGGAUGGAAGAUGCCAGCAGAACUUGAGCACGUGGCACAUCACCUUUGGAACUAUGGAAUCGUCAGUCUCUAGAAAGCGUGAUGACUGACCAGCACCUUCUCCUCAUUGGCGCUUUCAUCUAUUGAGCAUGUAUUUUUCAAGUGCUGCUCCCUGUUGGAACCACUCGUUUCCAGAGACCUGGAGCUGUGAGCACUUAGCACAGGUGGUGGGCAGGUGCAGGCAGGGAGGGCGUGGGACCCCUGCCAUCACAGAUGUUUGCCCCGUGUUCCGAGAGAGCCCAGGACUAGAGCCAGACAAGAGAUAAAUAAAUGUGCGUGACAUGUAGGAUUCAAAGUACUGUGUGCUUUCUACCCAAAUGAGAGCCUGGGUUGCCCCAAGUCUGGCUUCCUCUCAAAUUUUUCAUUUGAAGUCCC